GUUGACGCCAGAUUUCGUCACUAGUAAAAUCAGCGCCAAGAAGAGAGGAAUUCGGGGAAGCACAGUUGGGAAUCGGCCAAAUGGUGCUAUAGUGCGGAAUCGGUCGGUGACUUUUGUCUCGCUUUAGGACGAAUGCACCAGAGUCCCAAUCGGUAAUCUUUUGCCGAUAAGGAAUCGGCCGAUUAGGAGGGUGGACUAAUUGGGCCUGUAUGGGCUUGGAAAGGAAUGGAAGGAUAAGGUGGAGGUUAGCCCACAAAGCGUGGAGUAACUAACCUAGCACGAAUUGUGCUUGUAGAUAUUCGUUUUCUGUUUGAAUUAGAGAUAGGAUUCUAGUCGGUUAAGGAAUUAUCUGUACGGGGCUAUAAAUAGCUACCUUUGUAAAUCUGUAAUCAUCAACCAAUCAAUACAACAAGCUACUUUUUUCCUAGUACUUACUUUCAAGCGACUUCGCUAUUGCUUUUCUCUUCCACGAGUUCGUGCGGGUUGGCAGGGCUGCAUCAUCUUGAUCUCCGGCCGAUUCUGUAAGUUCCGUUUAUCGAGUAAUAUCUAAGCUUUAACUCCGGGCGUAUCGCUGUUGUUUCGUUUAGAUUUAUUCACUAGUUAUCGAUAUUUGCUAGAUUCAUAGGUUUCUACCUGUUUUUCU
rnacentral:lncRNA from 1 species